ACACACUUUCAACAGGUGCGUUCUGUUCAGCUAAAAUACUCAGGGUGGAGUUUUCUCUUAAGUCUGCAACCUUUUUGCUGUUUCUGACUCCCUGUUGCGACAGUUCAGAGCAGUUCAGUGGGUUUAGAUUUGUAGAUUUGAUGUGAUGCACUGCGAAUUAACGAAUAAAGUUGGAUUUAACGCAGACUGUGGUGGACUUAAUACGCAAAGCUCGCGGAAGCUCAUUCAGAUUGGCGGCUGAGCCAGUCUGUAUCUCUAUCAGGAGUGUUUGCUGAGCUUGUCAUCUGACCUUAUUGACAUCCUGAGAACACCAAUCAAUACAGUCCCAGAGGGUCAGUUAAUGGUAACACCUCAGGGGAGCAGAGCAAAGGAGGACGAGAAGAAAACAAAGAGCAGAAAAAAAAGAAGACGAGGGGAGGUGAGCUAAAAUAGGCUCGCUCAUCGACGAUUCCUCUUGAAGUGUCUCCCGUCGAGGGUGGGCGGAGCUAGCCCGCAGUGACUUCACGUUCAUACAUGCUCAACAUCAAUAGAGAACUGCUGUCUGACCCUCCGCCGAGAGUCUCUCUGGGGAGCGGGAGGGUGGAGGGAGGAAAGGAGCGAGAGACCGGGGGACGGAUGAUGGGUGGGCGAUUUCUUUUUAUGUGCUCUUUGGUGUUUACAUGUUUGUGUGUGUGUGUGCAUGUGUAGUGAUCAGAGCGUCACGGUAAUUGCACAAGCGCAAUCAAAGAUGAACAUCCAGACAACCAUCGACUUCAGGCUUCAAACGCUGGGAACAACGACAGCUAUCGCAUUGAUUUGAUGAGGAAAAACAACAGAAGCUUGGAAACCCCCCAGAGAGCUGCCUGACGAGAAGUGACGAGCUUCUCGUUGGCCCUAAUUUCCUGAAAAUGAGUCUGCUGCUGCAGUGCUGAGCUAAUGUACAAACAUCAGGUAGUGGAAGGUGGUAAACAGAGAAACUGCCAGUGAAACAGCAGCACUAUCACUCUGAUACAUGAGCUCUUUCAUUAAAGGGGACACAUCAA